AGAGUUUGAUCCUGGCUCAGGAUGAACGCUGGCGGUAUGCUUAACACAUGCAAGUCGAACGGUCUCUUCGGAGAUAGUGGCGGACGGGUGAGUAACGCGUGAGAAUCUGGCUCUAGGUCUGGGACAACAUUGGGAAACCGAUGCUAAUACCAGAUGUGCCGAGAGGUGAAAGGCUAGCUGCCUGGAGAUGAGCUCGCGUCAGAUUAGCUAGUAGGUGGGGUAAAAGCCUACCUAGGCGACGAUCUGUAGCUGGUCUGAGAGGACGAUCAGCCACACUGGGACUGAGACACGGCCCAGACUCCUACGGGAGGCAGCAGUGGGGAAUUUUCCGCAAUGGGCGAAAGCCUGACGGAGCAAUACCGCGUGAGGGAGGAAGGCUCUUGGGUUGUAAACCUCUUUUCUCAAGGAAGAAGAAAGUGACGGUACUUGAGGAAUAAGCAUCGGCUAACUCCGUGCCAGCAGCCGCGGUAAUACGGAGGAUGCAAGCGUUAUCCGGAAUGAUUGGGCGUAAAGCGUCCGUAGGUGGUUUUGUGUGUCUACUGUUAAAGCGUGCGGCUCAACCGCAUAAGGGCGGUGGAAACUACAAGACUAGAGUACGUUCGGGGCAGGGGGAAUUCCCAGUGUAGCGGUGAAAUGCGUAGAGAUUGGGAAGAACACCGGUGGCGAAAGCGCCCUGCUAGGCCGUAACUGACACUGAGGGACGAAAGCUAGGGGAGCGAAUGGGAUUAGAUACCCCAGUAGUCCUAGCCGUAAACGAUGGAUACUAGGUGUUGUCUGUAUCGACCCGGACAGUGCCGUAGCUAACGCGUUAAGUAUCCCGCCUGGGGAGUACGCAGGCAACUGUGAAACUCAAAGGAAUUGACGGGGGCCCGCACAAGCGGUGGAGUAUGUGGUUUAAUUCGAUGCAACGCGAAGAACCUUACCAGGGUUUGACAUGUCUGGAAUUUCUUGGAAACGAGAGAGUGCCUUCGGGAGCCAGAACACAGGUGGUGCAUGGCUGUCGUCAGCUCGUGUCGUGAGAUGUUGGGUUAAGUCCCGCAACGAGCGCAACCCUCGUCCUUAGUUGCCAUCAUUAAGUUGGGAACUCUAGGGAGACUGCCGGUGACAAACCGGAGGAAGGUGGGGAUGACGUCAAGUCAUCAUGCCCCUUACAUCCUGGGCUACACACGUACUACAAUGCUACGGACAAUGGGCAGCAAGCUAGCAAUAGCAAGCAAAUCUCAUAAACCGUGGCUCAGUUCAGAUUGUAGGCUGCAACUCGCCUACAUGAAGGAGGAAUCGCUAGUAAUUGCAGGUCAGCAUACUGCAGUGAAUUCGUUCCCGGGCCUUGUACACACCGCCCGUCACACCAUGGAAGCUGGUCACGCCCGAAGUAGUUAUCCUAACCGUUCGCGGGGGGAGAUUCCGAAGGCAGGGCUGGUGACUGGGGUGAAGUCGUAACAAGGUAGCCGUACCGGAAGGUGUGGCUGGAUCACCUCCUUACCUCCUUUAAGGGAGACCUACCCACUUGGGGAGAAUUGAUAUUAAUAUCAUGAUCACAAGUUGGUCAUCCUAGGUCAUGCGUAAAUUGUUUUUAUCUCAAAAAUACCUUCAAACUAUAUUUCUGGUUUGGCUUUUUCUUAGCACCAUGAAAAGUGGGGUUUUCUUACUUUUCUGUCUGCUGAGUGAAAGCUCAGUGAAAAGAACCUUGAAAAUUGGAUAGAGAAAAAGGCAGUACGAAACACAGACAAAGUAUCUUCAAAGAAGUAGUAGUCGUGCGAAAGUGUGAUUAGUGUGGAUUGUAGGGUACGAGUCGAGUGAGAGAAAAAGUGGUCAAGCGAAUAAGGGCUGAUGGUGGAUACCUAGGCACACAGAG
rnacentral:rRNA from 1 species